rnacentral:misc_RNA from 1 species
CACCGGAGCCCCUCUCCCCAACGGAGACGUGAACGGAGCCUCCCUCACCAAUGGAUCGGCCUCCUCGUCCACCGCUAUCAAGAAGUCCCGCGAGGUCGAGCGGCGCCGGAGACGCCGCAAGCAGAAGAAGAACGCCAAGCACUCCGUCACCGAUUCCGACGCCGCUGAUGAUAGCGAGUCCGGCGCUGGCGAUGACAAGGAAAACUCCGAUCCCCACCCCGAGGUAUCGGUAGAAAUAGAGUACGUCCCGGAGAAGGCUGAUAUCGCGGACGACUUCAUCGAGGAGUUCAGGAGCGUGAUUGAGAAG